rnacentral:rRNA from 1 species
AGUCGAACGGCAGCACGGGGCAACCUGGUGGCGAGUGGCGAACGGGUGAGUAAUAUAUCGGAACGUACCCUGGAGUGGGGGAUAACGUAGCGAAAGUUACGCUAAUACCGCAUACGAUCUAAGGAUGAAAGUGGGGGAUCGCAAGACCUCAUGCUCCUGGAGCGGCCGAUAUCUGAUUAGCUAGUUGGUGGGGUAAAGGCCCACCAAGGCUUCGAUCAGUAGCUGGUCUGAGAGGACGACCAGCCACACUGGAACUGAGACACGGUCCAGACUCCUACGGGAGGCAGCAGUGGGGAAUUUUGGACAAUGGGCGCAAGCCUGAUCCAGCAAUGCCGCGUGAGUGAAGAAGGCCUUCGGGUUGUAAAGCUCUUUUGUCAGGGAAGAAACGGUGAGGGCUAAUAUCUCUUGCUAAUGACGGUACCUGGAGAAUAAGCACCGGCUAACUACGUGCCAGCAGCCGCGGUAAUACGUAGGGUGCAAGCGUUAAUCGGAAUUACUGGGCGUAAAGCGUGCGCAGGCGGUUUUGUAAGUUUGUCGUGAAAGCCCCGGGCUCAACCUGGGAAUUGCGAUGAAGACUGCAAGGCUUGAAUCUGGCAGAGGGGGGUAGAAUUCCACGUGUAGCAGUGAAAUGCGUAGAGAUGUGGAGGAACACCGAUGGCGAAGGCAGCCCCCUGGGUCAAGAUUGACGCUCAUGCACGAAAGCGUGGGGAGCAAACAGGAUUAGAUACCCUGGUAGUCCACGCCCUAAACGAUGUCUACUAGUUGUCGGGUUUUAAUUAACUUGGUAACGCAGCUAACGCGUGAAGUAGACCGCCUGGGGAGUACGGUCGCAAGAUUAAAACUCAAAGGAAUUGAC